CGCAUGUGUAGUCCUAAAAAGAAAAAGAAGAAAAAAAAAAAGACGUAAAAUGUCCUUCAGAGUUUCCAAAGGCGAAUGCCCAAGGCAGGGACUUGCUCUUCUCUGGGUUCCCAUAGAACAGUGGUGCCAAGGAAUUUUUUCAGCUGUAGAGGUUGAAGCUGAUCCCGAGGCCUGGGAACCGGAUGCCUGCAGCGGGGACAGAUGGAAGUGUGGCGCUGUGUGAGGAGGGGCUGCGGCUGCUGUGUAGUGGGGAGAGGCCGGUCCGUAUGUGCAGCAUAGGGAAGUUCCUGGGAUAG